UUUUAAAAUGUAAACUUCAAAUACCACCCCUCUGUGGUUUUGUAUUUUCUUACUUUAGUACUCUAUAGUUUAAAGUGUACUAAUUUAGUAUCAUGUGAUUUUAUUUUUCUUUUUUCGUCAGCCCUUCAUUAACUUUUCGUUGAAUCAUAUAUAAAAAAUUUCAGAUACCCCACAUAUAGUUUAUCAAAUAAUCACUUUGGUACUCUUUAGUUUUAACUUUAUCCCUGGUUUAAUGAAAAAAAUUAGUAAAAGUGAUAACAAAAAGAGAAAAAUAAAAUCACAAGGUACGAAAGUGAUACACUUUAAAUCACAUGGUACUAAAGUGAAAAAAAGUGCGAAAUCACAUAAGUGUAUUUGAAGUUUUUCCUUAAAUAUAAGGGAUAAAGUG
rnacentral:lncRNA from 1 species